GGGCCGGGGGGGUAACGUUUCCGGGCCUUGUACACACCGCCCGUCACACCAUGAGAGUUUGUAACACCCAAAGUCGGUGGGGUAACCUUUUAGGAGCCAGCCGCCUAAGGUGGGACAGAUGAUUAGGGUGAAGUCGUAACAAGGUAGCCGUAGGAGAACCUGCGGCUGGAUCACCUCCUUUCUA
rnacentral:rRNA from 1 species